AGUGAACGCUGGCGGCAGGCCUAACACAUGCAAGUCGAACGGCCGCACAGUAAGAGUUUGCCUUUACCGUUGGCGAGUGGCGGGCGGGUGACGAAUGCAUCGCCUUCCUCUUUUUCGUGGGGGAUUACGUAGGGACACUUAUGAUAACACCGCCUAUGUCCUACGGGUUGAAGCAGUGGAUCUUCGGACCUUUCCCGACUGUAUGAGCUGAUGUCGGAUUAGCUAGUUGGCGGGGUAAAGGCCCACCAAGGCGACGAUCCGUAGCUGGUCUGAGAGGAUGAUCAGCCACACUGGAACUGAGACACGGUCCAGACUCCUACGGGAGGCAGCAGUGGGGAAUAUUGGACAAUGGGCGCAAGCCUGAUCCAGCCAUACCGCGUGGGUGAAGAAGGCCUUCGGGUUGUAAAGCCCUUUUGUUGGGAAAGAAAAGCAGCAGGUUAAUACCCCGCUGUUCUGACGGUACCCAAAGAAUAAGCACCGGCUAACUUCAUG
rnacentral:rRNA from 1 species